AGCUUGCUGACGAAUUCAAGUGUGAAUGUGGAAUGUUUGAACAUUUUGGCAUGGUGUGCAGCCAUGCACUGAAGGUAAUGAUACAGCUUGGUCUGCAGGAGGUUCCAGCCGGGCAAAUACUGAAGCGUUGGACAAGGGAUGCAAGACUCGGUGACAACAAUGCGGAUGCAUAUGCUCUUGCGAUGGAUCAACUAAGAAAUGUGAAAACAUUGCUUUGCGGCGCCAUCAAAGAAGAGACCAGCGG